rnacentral:rRNA from 1 species
UACAGAGGUCCCAAGCGUUGUUCGGAUUCACUGGGCGUAAAGGGUGCGUAGGCGGCCGGUUAAGUCUGACGUGAAAUCUCCGAGCCUAACUCGGAAACUGCAUCGGAAACUAUCCGGCUCGAGGGUUGGAGGGGGGACUGGAAUACUUGGUGUAGCAGUGAAAUGCGUAGAUAUCAAGUGGAACACCAGUGGCGAAGGCGAGUCCCUGGACAACUCCUGACACUGAGGCACGAAAGCUAGGGGAGCAAACAGG